GAUGAACGCUGGCGGCGUGCCUAAUACAUGCAAGUCGAACGCUGAAGGAGGAGCUUGCUCUUCUGGAUGAGUUGCGAACGGGUGAGUAACGCGUAGGUAACCUGCCUGGUAGCGGGGGAUAACUAUUGGAAACGCUAGCUAAUACCGCAUGACAACAGUUAUUGCAUGAUAACUGUUUAAAAGGGGCAACUGCUCCACUACCAGAUGGACCUGCGUUGUAUUAGCUAGUUGGUGAGGUAACGGCGCACCAAGGCGACGAUACAUAGCCGACCUGAGAGGGUGAGCGGCCAACCUGGGACUGAGACACGGCCCAGACUCCUAAGGGAGGCAGCAGUAGGGAAUCUUCGGCAAUGGACGGAAGUCUGACCGAGCAACGCCGCGUGAGGGAAGAAGGUUUUCGGAUCGUAAAGCUCUGUUGUAAGAGAAGAACGAGUGUGAGGGUGGAAAGUUCACACUGUGACGGUAUCUUACCAGAAAGGGACGGCUAACUACGUG
rnacentral:rRNA from 1 species